rnacentral:rRNA from 1 species
UACGGAGGGUGCAAGCGUUAAUCGGAAUUACUGGGCGUAAAGCGUGCGUAGGCGGUAAGUUAAGUCUGCUGUGAAAUCCCUGGGCUCAACCUGGGAAUGGCGGUGGAUACUGGCUUGCUGGAGUACGGUAGAGGAAGGUGGAAUUCCCGGUGUAGCGGUGAAAUGCGUAGAGAUCGGGAGGAACAUCAGUGGCGAAGGCGACCUUCUGGACCAGUACUGACGCUGAGGCACGAAAGCGUGGGGGAGCAAACAGGAUUAGAUACCCUGGUAGUCCACGCCCUAAACGAUGCGAACUGGAGGUUGGGUGCAACUUGGCACGCAGUCUCGAAGCUAACGCGUUAAGUUCGCCGCCUGGGGAGUACGGUCGCAAGACUGAAACUC